rnacentral:lncRNA from 1 species
UGUAUAUCAAUCUAGUCAUCCGACUAGUAUAUGCUCACGCAGCCAGUCACACAAAAUGGCAUGUCACCAGCACUCACAAACAAUAUCACCUUCAAAUAAUCACAUCACGUGGAAAUUAGUCAGUGGAGUCACCGAACCCACGAUAAGCCGACCUCCCACAUGGCUCAUCCUCUCACAUGUGCACCAGGGAGCCGAUCCCCUAUACUGGCCGACCGGUCUAAUCCUCACUUGACCAGCCCUCUCAUUGUUUUUCCAUUCUCUCUA